GGGCCCGUGGUCUAGCUGGUUAUGACGUCGCCUUCACACGGCGGAGGUCCUGAGUUCGAAUCUCAGCGAGCCCA
rnacentral:tRNA from 1 species